CGGGAUUGUCCCAGCCGCCGCGGUAAUACGGAGGGUGCAAGCGUUAAUCGGAAUUACUGGGCGUAAAGCGCGCGUAGGUGGUUGAGUAAGCGAGAUGUGAAAGCUCCGGGCUUAACCUGGGAACGGCAUUUCGAACUGCUCGGCUAGAGUGUGGUAGAGGGUAGUGGAAUUUCCUGUGUAGCGGUGAAAUGCGUAGAUAUAGGAAGGAACACCAGUGGCGAAGGCGGCUACCUGGACCAACACUGACACUGAGGUGCGAAAGCGUGGGGAGCAAACAGGAUUAGAUACCCUGGUAGUCCACGCCGUAAACGAUGUCAACUAGCCGUUGGGGAUCUUGAAUCCUUAGUGGCGCAGCUAACGCACUAAGUUGACCGCCUGGGGAGUACGGCCGCAAGGUUAAAACUCAAAUGAAUUGACGGGGGCCCGCACAAGCGGUGGAGCAUGUGGUUUAAUUCGACGCAACGCGAAGAACCUUACCUGGCCUUGACAUGCAGAGAACUUUCCAGAGAUGGAUUGGUGCCUUCGGGAACUCUGACACAGGUGCUGCAUGGCCGUCGUCAGCUCGUGUCGUGAGAUGUUGGGUUAAGUCCCGUAACGAGCGCAACCCCUAUCCUUGGUUGCUAGCAGGUAAUGCUGAGAACUCCAGGGAGACUGCCGGUGACAAACCGGAGGAAGGUGGGGAUGACGUCAGGUCAUCAUGGCCCUUACGGCCAGGGCUACACACGUGCUACAAUGGCGUAUACAGAGGGCUGCCAACUCGCGAGAGUGAGCCAAUCCCUUAAAGUGCGUCGUAGUCCGGAUCGCAGUCUGCAACUCGACUGCGUGAAGUCGGAAUCGCUAGUAAUCGCGAAUCAGAAUGUCGCGGUGAAUACGUUCCCGGGCCUUGUACACACCGCCCGUCACACCAUGGGAGUGGAUUGCACCAGAAGUGGUUAGUCUAACCUUCGGGAGGACGAUCACCACGGUGUGGUUCAUGACUGGGGUGAAGUCGUAACAAGGUAACCAAUCACU
rnacentral:rRNA from 1 species